UGCUAAUACCGCAUACGAUCACAGAGUCUGCGGAUUUUGUGAUGAAAGGAGCAAUUCGCUCUAGGAGGAGCCCGCGGCUGAUUAGCUAGUUGGUGAGGUAACGGCUCACCAAUGCAACGAUCAGUAUCCGGUCU
rnacentral:rRNA from 1 species